GAUGAACGCUGGCGGCGUGCUUAACACAUGCAAGUCGAACGGGAAACCUUUUAUUGAAGCUUCGGCAGAUUUAGCUGGUUUCUAGUGGCGGACGGGUGAGUAACGCGUGGGUAACCUGCCUUAUACAGGGGGAUAACAACCAGAAAUGGUUGCUAAUACCGCAUAAGCGCACAGGACCGCAUGGUCCGGUGUGAAAAACUCCGGUGGUAUAAGAUGGACCCGCGUUGGAUUAGCUAGUUGGCAGGGUAACGGCCUACCAAGGCGACGAUCCAUAGCCGGCCUGAGAGGGUGAACGGCCACAUUGGGACUGAGACACGGCCCAGACUCCUACGGGAGGCAGCAGUGGGGAAUAUUGCACAAUGGGGGAAACCCCGAUGCAGCGACGCCGCGUGAAGGAAGAAGUAUCUCGGUAUGUAAACUUCUAUCAGCAGGGAAGAUAGUGACGGUACCUGACUAAGAAGCCCCGGCUAACUACGUG
rnacentral:rRNA from 1 species